rnacentral:tRNA from 1 species
GCCCUCAUCGUCUAGUGGCCUAGGACGCCGCCCUUUCAAGGCGGUAGCACGGGUUCGAAUCCCGUUGGGGGCACCA